GACGAACGCUGGCGGCGUGCCUAAUACAUGCAAGUAGAACGCACAGUUUAUACCGUAGCUUGCUACACCAUAGACUGUGAGUUGCGAACGGGUGAGUAACGCGUAGGUAACCUGCCUGGUAACGGGGGAUAACUAUUGGAAACGAUAGCUGAUACCGCAUAAUAUUAAUUAUUGCAUGAUAAUUAAUUGAAAGGUGCAAUUGCACCACUACCAGAUGGACCUGCGUUGUAUUAGCUAGUAGGUGAGGUAACGGCUCACCUAGGCGACGAUACAUAGCCGACCUGAGAGGGUGAUCGGCCACACUGGGACUGAGACACGGCCCAGACUCCUACGGGAGGCAGCAGUAGGGAAUCUUCGGCAAUGGACGAAAGUCUGACCGAGCAACGCCGCGUGAGUGAAGAAGGUUUUCGGAUCGUAAAGCUCUGUUGUAAGAGAAGAACGGGUGUGAGAGUGGAAAGUUCACACUGUGACGGUAUCUUACCAGAAAGGGACGGCUAACUACGUG
rnacentral:rRNA from 1 species